rnacentral:rRNA from 1 species
AUUGAACGCUGGCGGCAGGCUUAACACAUGCAAGUCGAGCGGGGUGAUGGUGCUUGCACUAUCACUUAGCGGCGGACGGGUGAGUAAUGCUUAGGAAUCUGCCUAUUAGUGGGGGACAACAUCUCGAAAGGGAUGCUAAUACCGCAUACGUCCUACGGGAGAAAGCAGGGGAUCACUUGUGACCUUGCGCUAAUAGAUGAGCCUAAGUCGGAUUAGCUAGUUGGUGGGGUAAAGGCCUACCAAGGCGACGAUCUGUAGCGGGUCUGAGAGGAUGAGCCGCCACACUGGGACUGAGACACGGCCCAGACUCCUACGGGAGGAAGCAGUGGGGAAUAUUGGACAAUGGGGGGAACCCUGAUCCAGCCAUGCCGCGUGUGUGAAGAAGGCCUUAUGGUUGUAAAGCACUUUAAGCGAGGAGGAGGCUCUUUUGGUUAAUACCCAAGAUGAGUGGACGUUACUCGCAGAAUAAGCACCGGCUAACUCUGUGCCAGCAGCCGCCGUAA